AAUCUAGGUGACUUUCAAGGGCCUGCAUUAGUUGUCAUCCUUGAAGGUGCUUACUUAAGUAGAGAUGAAGUAGCUGGACUGCAGUUUCUUCCACCUUGGGGUCUCCGUGGUGAUACCAUAAACUAUGGGCUGGGAUUGCUUAGUUGUUUUUCAAUAAGUGAUUUUGUAUCUGUUGUAUCAGAUGGCUUCUUGUACAUGUUUGAUCCUAAAGGUUUAGCACUCGCAAUGCCUUCACAUCGUGGACCAGCUGCGAAAAUGUUCUCUCUAAGAGGGACUAAUUUGAUUGAGCGAUUCCGUGAUCAGUUCAGU
rnacentral:misc_RNA from 1 species